rnacentral:rRNA from 1 species
CCUACGGGUGGCAGCAGUGGGGAAUAUUGCACAAUGGGGGAGACCCUGAUGCAGCAACGCCGCGUGAGUGAGGAAGGUUUUCGGUAUGUAAAGCUCUAUCAGCAGGGAAGAAGAUGACGGUACCUGAGUAAGAAGGCCCGGCUCACUACGUGCCAGCAGCCGCGGUAAUACGUAGGGGGCAAGCGUUAUACGGAUUUACUGGGUGUAAAGUGGGCGUAGACGGUUGCGCAAGUCUGAAGUGAAAGCCCGGGGGUCAAGCCCGGGCCUGCUUUGGAAACUGGGUGGCUAGAGUGCGGGAGAGGCAAGCGGAAUUCGUAGUGUAGCGGUGAAAUGCGUAGAGAUUAGGAAGAACACCAGUUGCGAAGGCGGCAUGCUGGACAGUAACUGACGUUGAGGCACGAAAGCGUGGGAAGCGAACAGGAUUAGAUACCCUGGUAGUC